rnacentral:rRNA from 1 species
UACAGAGGUCUCAAGCGUUGUUCGGAUUCAUUGGGCGUAAAGGGUGCGUAGGCGGCGCGGUAAGUCGGGUGUGAAAUCUUGGAGCUUAACUCCGAAACUGCAUUCGAUACUGCCGUGCUUGAGGACUGGAGAGGAGACUGGAAUUUACGGUGUAGCGGUGAAAUGCGUAGAUAUCGUGAGGAAGACCAGUGGCGAAGGCGGGUCUCUGGACAGUUACUGACGCUGAGGCACGAAGGCCAGGGGAGCAAACGGG